CCUACGGGGGGCAGCAGUGGGGAAUAUUGCACAAUGGGGGAAACCCUGAUGCAGCGACGCCGCGUGAGUGAAGAAGUAAUUCGUUAUGUAAAGCCCUAUCAGCAGGGAAGAAAAUGACGGUACCUGAGCAAGUAUCUCCGGCCAACUACGUGCCAGCAGCCGCGGUAAUACGCAGGGGCCAAGCGUUAUCCGGAUUUACUGGGUGUAAAGGGAGCGUAGACGGCUGUGCAAGUCUGGAGUGAAAGGCGGGGGCUCAACCCCCGGACUGCUCUGGAAACUGUACGGCUGGAGUGCAGGAGAGGUAAGUGGAAUGCCUGGUGUAGCGGUGAAAUGCGUAGAUAUUAGGAGGAACACCGGCGGCGAAGGCGGCUUACUGGACUAUGACUGACGUUGAGGCUCGAAAGCGUGGGGAGCAAACAGGAUUAGAUACCCUUGUAGUC
rnacentral:rRNA from 1 species